rnacentral:rRNA from 1 species
GAUGAACGCUGGCGGCGUGCUUAAUACAUGCAAGUCGAACGAUGAAACCCAGCUUGCUGGGUGGAUUAGUGGCGAACGGGUGAGUAACACGUGAGUAACCUGCCCUUGACUCUGGGAUAAGCCUGGGAAACUGGGUCUAAUACUGGAUAUGACUUCUCAUCGCAUGGUGGGGGGUGGAAAGAUUUAUUGGUCUUGGAUGGACUCGCGGCCUAUCAGCUUGUUGGUGAGGUAAUGGCUCACCAAGGCGACGACGGGUAGCCGGCCUGAGAGGGUGACCGGCCACACUGGGACUGAGACACGGCCCAGACUCCUACGGGAGGCAGCAGUGGGGAAUAUUGCACAAUGGGCGCAAGCCUGAUGCAGCGACGCCGCGUGAGGGAUGACGGCCUUCGGGUUGUAAACCUCUUUCAGUAGGGAAGAAGCGAGAGUGACGGUACCUGCAGAAGAAGCGCCGGCUAACUACGUG